GUUACUGCUGAGGGACUCAUUUUUUUUGCAAGAGAUAGUUUAAUUGCCAGUGUAGUCGGUGAGAUGUUUGAUGCUGAAAACUGCCAUGUUAAAAUGAGAAACCAUCUUCACCGUGACGGCUAAAUUUGGUUUCUGGAUUCAAGUGGACCUGGCUCACAUCUAAGCUUUGGCCCUUUCCUAGCUGGAUGACUCUGGGCAGCGUUGGAAUGAGUGAAUCUGAACGAGGCUGCUGUGGUGAACUGAAAACUGAUGGUCAACUUAAAGUCCAGCUGAACUGAAUCAGCCCGGUCCUGGGUGCGGAGGGCCCCCCCCCCAGGACACUUCAUAGAAAUGACACCUGGAGAGAAAGAGUUGUUGUUUGGUGCUGUUGGUUCUCUGCCAUGGUUCUGGAGGAGCUCGCUGAGCUUCUUCCCUGAUAUGAUCUUUGUGGUGGUCCCCCGCUUCCUAAGGUUACAACAAUCUUGGCUGUUCUCAUCGUCAGAGGAGCUCGGGACCUUGUUGGUGGAGAGUGGCUGCGGCUCACUUUGGGGCAGCUCUGGUCCUUACACUGAGCAUCGCUUCCUGGCUCUGGAGGGGAAGAUGUGUGCUGUUUAACAUCCAGAGGAGGCUGUCAUUCUGGCUUCCUGAUGUGUACUCAGCUGUUCUCAUGAUCAGAGGAGCUCAGGGCUUCAUUGUCGCUGAGGAUGGCUGUGGUACUUUUUGGGGAAGCUUUGGUCCUUAUUUUAAGCACCGUUUCUUGGCUCCAGUGUAGAACUUUCAGCCUAGUGGCACAGAUCCUUCAUCCACCUGGCACAGACUUUCUGGCUUUCACCAUUGACCUUGGGGCUUUCCCAGUGCAGAUCUGUGAAACAGACUUUUGUAAGUCCUUGUCAUGGGCUCUAGACUCAUUGGACUCACGGGAGGCAUUGUCAUGGGCUCUAGGUCUUCAGCUGGACCCAUGCAGGAUAUUACCAUGGGAUUCAGCUGAACUCUUCGGGGGCCUUAGUGUGAAUGGAUUUCCUGUAUUUGACUUCUGAGUAUUAUAAAUACUACUGUAAAUUAUGUGUCCCGUGUUCUUGUUAUCCUUGCAAACCCUGACUACAACUGCUUAAAGCACACAGAUCCCAAAUACACAUGA